rnacentral:misc_RNA from 1 species
GAUGAAGAACGCAGCGAAAUGCGAUAAGUAGUGUGAAUUGCAGAAUUCCGUGAAUCAUCGAAUCUUUGAACGCACAUUGCGCCUUCUGGUAUUCCGGAAGGCAUGCCUGUUCGAGAGUCAUUAACAACCGUUUCGAUCCCUUUCUUUCAGAAAUUACAAAGAGGAAAAGGGAUUGGUUAUGGUGGAGGAGGGAAAGGGAGCGUUUAGCCUGUAAAAAAAGAGGCUGUGUUCCGCCUCCCCCCCAAAAUUGUACAGGCGGUCGUGUGCGCCCACGCAUCGAGGUGUUGUAAAAGCUGCCACGGCACCUUUCACCUGUGCAGUGCGAGAUUGGCCAGCCGGUUUAAAAACCCCUCCAAACAAUCAAAGGUUGACCUCGGAUCAGGUAGGGAUACCCGCUGAACUUAAGCAUAUCAAUAAGCGGAGGA